UACGUAGGGUGCAGGCGUUAAUCGGAAUUACUGGGCGUAAAGCGUGCGCAGGCGGUCUUUUAAGUCAGAUGUGAAAUCCCCGGGCUUAACCUGGGAACUGCGUUUGAAACUGAAAGGCUAGAGUGUGGCAGAGGGGGGUGGAAUUCCACGUGUAGCAGUGAAAUGCGUAGAGAUGUGGAGGAACACCGAUGGCGAAGGCAAUCCCCUGGACCUGUACUGACGCUCAUGCACGAAAGCGUGGGGAGCAAACAGG
rnacentral:rRNA from 1 species